ACAGAAUGUAGUAAUGUGUGUCAGGUUAAACAAAUCACUGACAUAUAGAUAUGUCACACAGUAAAUCCAUAUAGUUUGCUGUAUAUAGUAAACUCCCUUGGAUUUACAGUCAACCUUAUGCUUUGGAUUAAUUUGCCCCUACGUUCUUGUGAGAGUGAGUAGAGCAAUGUGAUAUGCAUAUGUCUUUAGGUAGGAUGUGUCAACAGGGUAAAGAGGGAGCUAUGGCUGAGAUUUAACUCCUAUAAAGUGGGUGGAAAGGGUGUGCUCAACAAAUUAGCAAUUGAAAUGAAAAAUAGGCAAGAAACUUCGUGUAUUCAGGAAUAAUAGCAAUACCAGCCUUUUGCUGUACUAAACAAAUCUUUUACUGAAUCUUUUGCAUACAGUAGGGUGCUGUUUAGAUUUCAACAAAAGGAGAAAGAGAACGGAUAUAUUGCGAUUCCCUUUCUCCUAAUAGUGAACAUGAUAAAAUUAUGCCUUCAAAUGUAGUCUUCUAUUUCUUUUUUUGUUACAAAAUAUCCCCCCCCCCUUUAUUUACAAAUGAAAGAUACCACUGUGAUCCUCAUGCUCCAGGGUGAAAUAGAGCUAUUGACUGUCCUAGAAGACUGAUCUUAGAAGGUAAUUCCAGGAAUUGGAAAGAUCUUAAUAGUUUGGGCCGAAGAUGCGUUGGGCGAAAAGAAGCAAGUUGUGUACUUGACACACCUAAAGGUACACGCAGCAGACUUCAGGCUUCACUCUGCCCUGGACACUUGACUGGCCUCGGGCCCCAUCCAACCUUCUGAUUCCUGAAAGAUCAGGCAAUUUGAGCUUAUAACUUCUAUCUGGGAAGAGCUGUUUCAGGCCACUGGGGUAUAUUUUUCCCCUCUGAGAUUUCUCUUUUGUGACGUCUGUGCCACGUGGAUUCAUUUUAACUAGUCACAGCAAGUCUUUGUCUUGCUUCUUCACGGUUAGGCUUUGAAAAUCAAGCUGUGUUCUUCCCUGUGGUCCCUGACGAUCUCCAACAAUAAUAACUACAGAUCAUAAUUAUCUCGUGGCAGUUACCUGGCUAUUUCCCUAAGCAUGAGCUUAGUAGAAAGAAUGCAUCUUGAUUCUGGGACCCUUUCUGGUGACGUGAUUGGACAGCCACGGUGGGGAAGUGCGCAGCAGUCAGGAGUCUUCUCAGGGCGUGUUUUCCACGUCGUGUUUUCUCUAGGACAACAUGGUCUGUGACGGCAGAAGUUGGAAGACAGUUAAAAGACACUCCACGUGCUGCCUAAGUAUAUCCUGCAUUCGGCCUGAAAACGCAGGUUGCGUAGAGCCUUUCUUCUUUCAUUCCCUCUGCCUCCCUCUGCCCAGCUUCUUUGUUUUGAAUUCUGAUCAGUUUAAAGGUCAGAAAACUGCAAGUGUGCAUGCACGCCUGCCUGGUUCUCCGUGGAGCACAGGCCUGUCUCCCCCGCCGUCUCUGGUGGGCAGGCCCCGUGGCCCAGCUUCAGGAAGAGUGGGAUGGCAAGCUUGCAGUUCCCGGACUUUUUUAUCACGUACGUGGUGAGAGCCUCUUACUGUAUUGUGAUAGUUCCGUAGACAUUACCCUAAGCAUAUGGCAUAGGAAAUUGUGGCAAA
rnacentral:lncRNA from 1 species